UGGGGAAUUUUGGACAAUGGGCGCAAGCCUGAUCCAGCAAUGCCGCGUGCAGGAUGAAGGCCUUCGGGUUGUAAACUGCUUUUGUACGGAACGAAAAAGCUCUCUCUAAUACAGGGGGUGAAUGACGGUACCGUAAGAAUAAGCACCGGCUAACUACGUGCCAGCAGCCGCGGUAAUAUGUAGGGUGCAAGCGUUAAUCGGAAUUACUGGGCGUAAAGCGUGCGCAGGCGGUUUUGUAAGACAGAGGUGAAAUCCCCGGGCUCAACCUGGGAACUGCCUUUGUGACUGCAAAGCUGGAGUGCGGCAGAGGGGGAUGGAAUUCCGCGUGUAGCAGUGAAAUGCGUAGAUAUGCGGAGGAACACCGAUGACGAAGGCAAUCCCCUGGGCCUGCACUGACGCUCAUGCACGAAAGCGUGGGGAGCAAACA
rnacentral:rRNA from 1 species